rnacentral:rRNA from 1 species
UGGGGAAUAUUGCACAAUGGGGGAAACCCUGAUGCAGCGACGCCGCGUGAGCGAUGAAGUAUCUCGGUAUGUAAAGCUCUAUCAGCAGGGAAGAAAGUGACAGUACCUGACUAAGAAGCCCCGGCUAACUACGUGCCAGCAGCCGCGGUAAUACGUAGGGGGCAAGCGUUAUCCGGAUUCACUGGGCGUAAAGGGAGCGCAGGCGGCACGGCAAGUCUGGUGUGAAAACCCGGGGCUCAACCCCGGGACUGCAUUGGAAACUGCCGGGCUGGAGUGUCGGAGGGGUAAGCGGAAUUCCUAGUGUAGCGGUGAAAUGCGUAGAUAUUAGGAGGAACACCAGUGGCGAAGGCGGCUUACUGGACGAUGACUGACGCUGAGGCUCGAAAGCGUGGGGAGCAAA